AAGGUUUCCUGGAUUACAUGAGGACAGACAACCAAGGCUGGAAAGACAGAGUUUUUUCCAAAGCCAAGAAAUAUCAUCUGGAAGUGGGUGAUCUGGGGCUCAGACACACAAAAGCACUGGUACUAACCUUAAAAGGAAAAGGCUGGGCUCUACCAAAACCAUCAGGAGAAGAGAUGAGCCCCAAGCUGGGCUGGCAAGAUGCUUGAUAGGCAAAGGUACCCCCACCCCCACCCCGCGCCAAGCUUGAUGGCCUGAGUGCCAUCCUCAGGACCCACAUGAUGGAAGAACUGUCUUCUUUGAGUUGUCUUCUGACCUUCACGUGUGUGCUG
rnacentral:lncRNA from 1 species